UGGCUCAAAGGAGUAGGGCACUGGCCCCAUAUGCCAGAGGUGGCGGGUUCAAACCCCGC
rnacentral:tRNA from 1 species